rnacentral:rRNA from 1 species
GACGAACGCUGGCGGCGUGCCUAAUACAUGCAAGUAGAACGCUGAAGGAGGAGCUUGCUUCUCUGGAUGAGUUGCGAACGGGUGAGUAACGCGUAGGUAACCUGCCUGGUAGCGGGGGAUAACUAUUGGAAACGAUAGCUAAUACCGCAUAAUAGUAGAUGUUGCAUGACAUUUGCUUAAAAGGUGCAAUUGCAUCACUACCAGAUGGACCUGCGUUGUAUUAGCUAGUUGGUGGGGUAACGGCUCACCAAGGCGACGAUACAUAGCCGACCUGAGAGGGUGAGCGGCCACACUGGGACUGAGACACGGCCCAGACUCCUACGGGAGGCAGCAGUAGGGAAUCUUCGGCAAUGGACGGAAGUCUGACCGAGCAACGCCGCGUGAGUGAAGAAGGUUGUCGGAUCGUAAAGCUCGGUUGUAAGAGAAGAACGAGUGUGAGAGUGGAAAGUUCACACUGUGACGGUAUCUUACCAGAAAGGGACGGCUAACUACGUG